AUAGUGUCGCGAUAGUAAUUCAACCUAGUAUGAGAGGAACCGUUGAUUCACACAAUUGGUCAUCGCGCUUGGUUGAAAAGCGAGUGGCGCGAAGCUACCGUGUGCCGGAUUAUGACUGAACGCCUCUAAGUCAGAAUCCAAGCUAGCAUGCGACGCCUGCGCCCGCCGCUCGCCCCGACCCACGUUAGGGGCGCUUGCGCCCCCAAGGGCCCGUGCCAUUGGCUAAGUCGUUCCGGCCGACGUGUCGUGAUCAGCUGCCUUGAAGCUCCCUUCCCAACCUUCGGUCGGCUGAAUCCUUUGCAGACGACUUAAAUACACGACAGGGCAUUGUAAGUGGUAGAGUGGCCUUGCUGCCACGAUCCACUGAGAUCCAGCCCCAUGUCGCACGGAUUC
rnacentral:rRNA from 16 species